rnacentral:rRNA from 1 species
UACGUAGGGAGCAAGCGUUGUUCGGAUUUACUGGGCGUAAAGAGCUCGUAGGCGGCUUGUCAAGUCGGUUGUGAAAGCCCGAGGCUUAACCUCGGGUCUGCAGUCGAUACGGGCUAGCUAGAGUGUGGUAGGGGAGAGCGGAAUUCCUGGUGUAGCGGUGAAAUGCGCAGAUAUCAGGAGGAACACCGGUGGCGAAGGCGGAUCUCUGGGCCAUUACUGACGCUGAGGAGCGAAAGCGUGGGGAGCGAACAGG